UACGUAGGUGGCAAGCGUUAUCCGGAUUUACUGGGUGUAAAGGGCGUGCAGCCGGGCUGACAAGUCAGAUGUGAAAUCCCGCGGCUCAACCGCGGAACUGCAUUUGAAACUGUCAGUCUUGAGUACCGGAGAGGUCAUCGGAAUUCCUUGUGUAGCGGUGAAAUGCGUAGAUAUAAGGAAGAACACCAGUGGCGAAGGCGGAUGACUGGACGGCAACUGACGGUGAGGCGCGAAAGCGUGGGGAGCAAACAGG
rnacentral:rRNA from 1 species